rnacentral:rRNA from 1 species
AUUGAACGCUGGCGGCAGGCCUAACACAUGCAAGUCGAGCGGUAACACAGGGAGCUUGCUCCCGGGUGACGAGCGGCGGACGGGUGAGUAAUGUCUGGGAAACUGCCUGAUGGAGGGGGAUAACUACUGGAAACGGUAGCUAAUACCGCAUAAUGUCGCAAGACCAAAGAGGGGGACCUUCGGGCCUCUUGCCAUCCGCUGGGCCCAGAUGGGAUUAGCUAGUAGGUGGGGUAACGGCUCACCUAGGCGACGAUCCCUAGCUGGUCUGAGAGGAUGACCAGCCACACUGGAACUGAGACACGGUCCAGUCUCCUACGGGAGGCAGCAGUGGGGAAUAUUGCACAAUGGGCGCAAGCCUGAUGCAGCCAUGCCGCGUGUAUGAAGAAGGCCUUCGGGUUGUAAAGUACUUUCAGCGGGGAGGAAGGUGUUGAGGUUAAUAACCUCAGCAAUUGACGUUACCCGCAGAAGAAGCACCGGCUAACUCCGUGCCAGCCGCCGCGGUAA